UCAGUACAUACCAAGAAAUAGCAGGAAGGUUGCAAUCAUGUAUGUGAGGCACGCAAUCAAGCAUGGGAAAUAUUUCAAGAUAAUGAGGUUAUUUUUUUCUGUAAUUAUUGAAGAAGAAACAGAAUAGAAGGAAAGAGAGUGAAUGAUAAUCAUAGGAUCGCAUAUUCAAUUCCAAUGAUCAAUGGUGAAAGUGAUUAUUACAUAGUUACCAAAAACCUUAAAAUUCGAAGAUUCAGCGAGACUCUUCUUAGAACUAUGAUUGAUGAUUGGAAGGUUAUGGUUUUUUAAAUAAGAGCAAGGACAAGAAAUGGGCUGAUUGAACUAUAUUAUGGCCAUAUUCCUUUUGUUGUGGAUCUUUGGGGCUGCUGCCCUUGAAAAUUUCCCUAUUUGUCUCAAAUCUAUCAUUUCCUUUUGGAAUCUUAGGCUCAAUAUCAAUAUUCUUGCUAUUCUUGAAGGUACCUAUACAUAUACAUAUAGAUAAGUAAAUAUGUAAUUAAGGUGACCGUAAAAUAAUUAAGUUUAAAGUGUUAAAUAUAUUACUUACCUAAAACUCCAUAUAUAUAAUUGACAGUUAUUGGAACAACUGC